GAUGAACGCUGGCGGCGUGCCUAAUACAUGCAAGUCGAGCGAACAGACGAGGAGCUUGCUCCUCUGACGUUAGCGGCGGACGGGUGAGUAACACGUGGAUAACCUACCUAUAAGACUGGGAUAACUUCGGGAAACCGGAGCUAAUACCGGAUAAUAUAUUGAACCGCAUGGUUCAAUAGUGAAAGACGGUUUUGCUGUCACUUAUAGAUGGAUCCGCGCCGCAUUAGCUAGUUGGUAAGGUAACGGCUUACCAAGGCGACGAUGCGUAGCCGACCUGAGAGGGUGAUCGGCCACACUGGAACUGAGACACGGUCCAGACUCCUACGGGAAGCAGCAGUAGGGAAUCUUCCGCAAUGGGCGAAAGCCUGACGGAGCAACGCCGCGUGAGUGAUGAAGGUCUUCGGAUCGUAAAACUCUAUUAUUAGGGAAGAACAAAUGUGUAAGUAACUAUGCACGUCUUGACGGUACCUAAUCAGAAAGCCACGGCUAACUACGUG
rnacentral:rRNA from 1 species